rnacentral:lncRNA from 10 species
AGCAUGGCAGCAGCAUCUGCUUCUGGUGAGGAACUCAGUCUGCUUCCAGUCAUUGUGGAAGAUGAAGGGGAGCUAACCUAUGCAAAAAUCACAUUGCAAGAGUAAAGGCAAGUGGAGGUGCCAGACACUUUUAAAAUAAGCAGCUCUUGUGGGAACUAAUAGAGCAGGAACUUACCCACUUGAGAGAAUGGCAAUAAUCCAUGCAUGAGGGAUCUGCCCCGUAAUCCAAAGACCUCCUGCCAGAUCCCAUCUUCAACAUUAGGGAUCACAUAUCAACAUGAGACUUGGUGGGGCCAAACAAACCAUAUUCAAACCAUAGCAGUUGUUUUCUUGAGGUGUGACUUUACCUGCCCUUGGAGAUGAUCUUGUUAGAUAGCAUGUCUGGCUCCAGGUGGUUUCACAAGGCUCAUUUGUUGAAUGAAUAAAUGAAUGAGUGGAUGACAACAGAAUUUUAGAUGAUUGCAUUUUGGAGGGAUUCACUUUCUUGAAAAUCUUAUUACUUUUGAAUUAUGUAUUAUGUCCAACCCUUUUCUUAUUGGCUUACAAAGAGCAGGGCUGGGUAGAAAUAAGAAAUUCAAAGGAGGUGAGGAACCAAGAAUAUCUAAGGGAGAGCAUGAAAUGCAGAAGACCCACCAGGGUUCUCAUCUCCCCUCUCCAGCCUGGGCCACUUAUUUAUUUUAACCUUUUGGAAUUUUCUAUCCUGUUUAAUAAACUUUUGUGGCUUCAUGAUGCCAUGGAGACCUGCUGAAUGGAGCUGUGGAGCUGGGGUGUAGGGUAGGGUUGGGGAAAGGUGAUAGUGCUACCUGUACAUAAAGCUCAAAUAAAUAUAAUUUAUCAAGCAAGUAUAAAAAUAAGAUAUGUCAAAUAGUGGAAACUACAUUAGCACUGUUAUAUAUCAUCAAG